AGUCCCAGCUACUCGGGAAGCUGAGACAGGAGGAUCACUUGAAUCCAGGAAUUCUGGGCUGUAGUGCGCUAUGCCGAUUGGGUGUCCGCACUAAGUUCGGCAUCAAUGGUGACCUCCCGGGAGCGGGGGACCACCAGGUUGCCUAAGAGGGGUGAACCGGCCCAGGGAUCUUUGCAGAUCUGUCA